UACAGAGGGGGCAAGCGUUGUUCGGAAUUACUGGGCGUAAAGGGCGCGUAGGCGGCCUUCUAAGUCGAACGUGAAAUCCCCGGGCUCAACCCGGGAACUGCGUCCGAUACUGGAAGGCUUGAAUCCGGGAGAGGGAUGCGGAAUUCCAGGUGUAGCGGUGAAAUGCGCAGAUAUCAGGAAGAACACCCGUGGCGAAGGCGGCUCUCUGGAACGCAACUGACGCUGAGACGCGAAAGCGUGGGGAGCAAACAGG
rnacentral:rRNA from 1 species